GAGUUUGAUCCUGCUCAGAACGAACGCUGGCGGCGUGCUUAACACAUGCAAGUCGAACGAGAAAGGGUUCUUCGGAACCUGAGUAAAGUGGGCACGGGUGAGUAACGCGUAGAUAACCUGUCCUGGUGUCUGGGAUAACCCUUCGAAAGGGGGACUAAUACCGGAUACGCUGAUUUUUCAUAAGUAGAAUCAGGAAAGAUGGCCUCUGAUUUAAGCUAUCGCAUUUGGAGGGGUCUGCCGUACCAUUAGCUUGUUGGUGGGGUAAAAGCCUACCAAGGCAACGAUGGUUAGCGGGUCUGAGAGGAUGAUCCCGUCACACUGGCACUGAAACACGGGCCCAGACUCCUACGGGAGGCAAGCAGUGAAGGAAUAUUGCGCAAUGGGGGGAAACCCUUGACGCAACCGACGCCCGCGUGAAGUGAANGAANGCCUUCGGGUCGUAAAAGCUCUUGUCAGAAAGGAAAGAAGUGCUUAGAUGGUUAAUACCUAUUUAAGUUUGGACCGGUNCCUUUNAAAAGGAAAGCACCGGCUUAACUUCCGUGCCCAANCAAGCCCGGGGGUUAAUUCCAANGGGCCGAANUUCGUUUUNAAACCCUGGCANGGACUUAGUNCCCNUUUAANNGGANGGGUUUAANUUUNUUGAGCCUUNGGGGGUAANU
rnacentral:rRNA from 1 species